AUGACUGUCAUCUCAGAGAACCAAAAAGCAGCUGAAAGAUUUGUGAUGACACAAACUCCAGUUUCCCUGCCUGUCAUCCUUGGAGAUCAAGCCUCUGUCUCUUGUAUGUCUAGUCAGAACCUUGUGCAUAGUGAUGGAUUCACCUUUAUAGAAUGGUACCUGCAGAAGCCAGGCCAGUCUCCACAACUCCUCAUCUAUGAGAUUUCCAAACGAUUUUCUGGGGUUCCAAGCGGGUUCAGUGGCAGUGGGUCAGGCACAGAUUUCACACUCAAGAUCAGCAGAGUGGAACCUGAGGAUUUGGGAGUUUAUUACUGCUUCCAAG